AAGCUCGUAGUUGAAUUUCGGGGUCAGUAGGUUGGUCGUGCCACUGGUAUGUACUGAUCUCACUGAUUCCUCCUUCCUGAUGAGCUGUAAUGCCAUUAAUUUGGUGUUGCAGGGAAUCUGGACUGUUACUUUGAAAAAAUUAGAGUGUUUAAGGCAGGCUAACGCUUGAAUACAUUAGCAUGGAAUAAUGAAAUAGGACGUUCGAUCCUAUUUUGUUGGUUUCUAGGAUUGACGUAAUGAUUAAUAGGGAUAGUUGGG
rnacentral:rRNA from 1 species